GUCUAUGGCCACACCACCCUGAACAUGCCUGAUCUCGUCUGAUCUCAGAAGCUAAGCAGGGUUGGGCCUGGUUAAUGCAUGGAUGGGAGACAAAUAACAGUUAUCAAACACUGAGUGCCUAGAUC
ensembl:rRNA 5S_rRNA 5S ribosomal RNA